ACAAUGGUUCCCCAGCGCCGCGACCCGAGGCUGUGCUGCUGUCCCCGGGAGCUGCAGGAGCUGCCUCCGUGCCUUCUCCCUCUGCAUCACCGCCGGCAACUGAAUUCGCAACGGUGCAGGCAGCGCCGGCGCGGGCCGACCCCGUUCCAAGGCCACCGCCCCCGCCUGUCCCGCCGCUCCCUGCCGGUCCAAUUGCAGUGCAAGAGCUUGCCGAGAAUGGUGCUGAGCCCACGGAUUCGACUCAAGAGUCGACACCAGCGCCCGUGCUGCCCGCACCACCCACCCCAGUUGUCCCGCAGGUUUCCGAAGCUCCGUCAGUCGCAUCAGACCCUGGGAAGAGCCUGUCCUUCCGUGGAGGGGGCACGGCCCGCCAGCUGACUGCAGUUCUUUGUUUCAGAAUUCUGCAAGCCUGUUUCAGGACCAAAGGGGACUUCCAGAGAUGUCAAAGAGGAACAUCUUCAGUCCAUGGACUCUGUCCUGAAACUCAGCUGUUUGGACUUGAAACAAUGAACUUUGUUUGCAUGAGUUUUUUGCAUUUUCUUAUAUUUUAAGAUUGUUUUAGUGAUAUGAUAGAAUAUGAUGUUCUACAAGUGACGAAUUUUCCUGAAUGUUCUACAGGUGAAGAAUUUCCCUGACCAUUCCACAUCAGCAGUUGAUUGAGAUUUUGAUUGGCAACAGAUGAACCUCAAGAGGUGUUUGUUCUCUCUUCUGCAAGGGCCCAGUAGAAGGGAUGGCAAACAUUUCUUUUUCUAUUUAAUUUAAUAAAUUUUAAAGGGUGAGAUGUAGCCGUGAUAUUUUAGUGAAAAAGCCUCUGCUAGGAUUUUUCCUGUCCUGAGGUGCUGAGAGCCUCAGGAAAGAAAUGUAAACAAUAACUAUCUGCUGCUGUGGAAUGCAACAGAUGCAUCUUCCAUUGGUCCAUGUGGAUUGUUUUCAAUCAGUGACCAAUCACAGCCACCUGUGCCAAGGCUGUGAGCAGUCACAGGAUUUUUGUUAUUCAUUCCUAUUCUAUUCUUGUCUUUGUAGCCUUCUGAUCUUCUUCUCUCUGUUCUUUUAGUAUAGUUGUAAUGUAGUAUUUUAGUAUAAUAUAUAACAUAAUAAAUCAGCCUUCUGAUGAAAA